GUGCUCGCUUAGGCAGCACACCUACUAAAACUGGAACAAUACAGAGAUUAGCAUGGCCCCUGUGCAAGGAUGGCAUGCAAAUUCGUGAAGCAUUCCAUAUUUAA